CGAAGAACCUUACCAGGUCUUGACAUCCGAUGCUAUUUCUAGAGAUAGAAAGUUACUUCGGUACAUCGGUGACAGGUGGUGCAUGGUUGUCGUCAGCUCGUGUCGUGAGAUGUUGGGUUAAGUCCCGCAACGAGCGCAACCCCUAUUGUUAGUUGCCAUCAUUCAGUUGGGCACUCUAGCGAGACUGCCGGUAAUAAACCGGAGGAAGGUGGGGAUGACGUCAAAUCAUCAUGCCCCUUAUGACCUGGGCUACACACGUGCUACAAUGGUUGGUACAAAGGGUCGCGAACCCGCGAGGGGGAGCCAAUCCCAAAAAGCCGCUCUCAGUUCGGAUUGCAGGCUGCAACUCGCCUGCAUGAAGCCGGAAUCGCUAGUAAUCGCGGAUCAGCCAUGCCGCGGUGAAUACGUUCCCGGGCCUU
rnacentral:rRNA from 1 species